CUUUCUUCUUCCUCCUCUUCUCGGUGCCGAAUAGAUUUCAGACUUAGCGAAUUUCAUAAACUCAGGGCACAACUCGUUCUUCUCCUUAUCCACGCGAUGUAGUGGGCGAAGGUGGGAUCAAGGAGGUUAAUCGGCACCGGCGCGGUUCGAUGACUUGGUGGGGCUAAGCGACACCGUUAGCGGUGGGGAGCAGCCUCUCCUCCUCCCUCGGAGGUUCAGGAAGUAGCGAGCGUGGACUGAACUUCUGAAGAAGUGGAGGUCCAAUUCGAAGGUGAAAGGUUUCGUGGCGCAGAGUACAAGAGGAGGCUAUUCGAUCGCCAUUGUUGGUUACCUCGCGUUUGUCCCAACUCGUAACGCUAUGAAGAACAGGCUCAGCGGCGAUCGCUAUAUCAUCCAGAGCAUCAGCCCUAAGAAUUUAGUGGUUGCCCCAGUUCGAUGAUCACAUUUUUGGUCGAUUUUGGGGUCCCGUUUUGCCUUUAUAUCUCUUACUCUAUAAUUCCUAUUUAUUUCAGCUAAACUUGGAAGGUCUUGAAUUUUUCAUCAUAAUGCAUAAACAUAUUUGUUAUUAAUCGAGUUUAUUCAACAAGAAACGAAAGGAAUGUCACUACAAAAAAAUAAUAUAUUUGUAACGGAAUUCCGUCACUAAAGUUCAGGUAGCUAACGUAAUUUCAUUUCUAAUUCCGUCUCUAAUGUCAUUAUUAACGGAAAAAGUAGAUUUAGAGACAAAAAAGUUUUGUUACAAAAAUAAUUAUUUUUUGUAGUGUGUGUGUAUACAUACGUUUAUAUUGUUGCAGGUAGAGAUGAUGCAAUGACAAAUUUUGAAAUAAAGGGGUGCCGUUAUACUAUCUGAUCAAUGAGGGAUAACUCCAUAUUGGUAAGUGGAGAAAGUGGUGCUGGUAAAAUAGAAACUACUAAGAUGCUUAUGCGGUAUCUUACCUAUUUGGGAGGUCGUAAAAAAACUGAAGGGCGGACAGUAGAACAACAAGUUCUUGAGGAUAUUGACAAGUACAAGCUAGGGCCUCCGAAGACAUUCCAUUAUCUCAAUCAAUCUAAUUGUAUUGAACUUGCUGGUGUGAAUGAUGCUCAUGAGUAUUUGGCUACCAGGAGGGCAAUGGAUGAUGUCGGAAUAAGUCAAAAGGACCAGGAUGCAAUUUUCACAGUUGUGGCAGCUAUUCUCCAUCUUGGUAAUGUUGACUUUUCUAAGGGGCAGGAAAUUGAUUCGUCAGUUAUAAAGGAUGACAAAUCGAAAUUCCAUCUUAAGACAGUUGCAGAGCUUCUUAUGUAUGAUUGAAGCCCAUUUCAAACCAUUAGUAUUUCUUAAGCUCUACUAUUUCUGGAUUUUAUUAUAUUAUAUUUUAUUUUAUUUCUACGUGUAAUCCUGUUGCACUGGAAGAUGCAAUACUGAAGCGUGUGAUGGUCACUCCUGAAGAAGUUAUUAAGAGAAGUCUUGAUCCUACUGCUGCAUUAACGACAUGUCUUCAAGAUGGAGCAAGAGGACUACGAAAGAGAGGCGAUUGACUGAAGCUACAUAGAAUUUGUAGAUAACCAAGAUGUUCUUGAUCUUAUUGAAAAGCUGAAUCUGUAGCCAUACACAGUACAUCCCGCUACAAAUCAUUGAUCUCGGUUCCUGGUUGAAGACCCCCUCAAUAUAUGUUUUUGAUUGCUCUGCUGCUGGAUUUAUUGUGAAUGCCUUCAUUGAGCUCCAGGAAAAUAGUACCUCAAGUUCUGGAUCUUCCAUGAGGGACUGUAUUUUGCUAGCAGCCUGUGAAGCUCAUGAGACGCUACCACAAAGUGCUGAGUUUCCUGCUGAUAUUUACUUCCUGCCUUACAACACCCAUAAAAAUGGCACUAAGAUGUUUCAACCCAAUUGCAGGCUCACACUAUCAGAGGUUUCUCAUGUGAUGGGUUGUGUGCUGCUUCAUGAAUUUUAUCUCUUUUGAAUGUUUUGUUCUCGGUCACUUCUUCAUGAAUCAAUUGAUUAUUCUCUGAUUGAUAGAAUUCUUGGCCGCCAAACUAACAGGAAGACCCUUUUUGGGGAGUUGAACUGGAUAUUCACAGCUGUGACUGAUACUAUUGCAUGGAAUGUACUUCCUCAUGAGAUUGUUCAGGCAAGAUCUUUUGGUUGCCAGCCUGUUUCGAAAUUUUUUGCUUGCUGAAAGGAUAAUGCGGUCUGCAAAUUGUUUGCCAGUUUCACAUCCAAUGUUACCACCAACCCAUCAGCACCGUAUGUGGGAUGCAUGGGACAUGGCUAUACACUGAAAUAUGCCUUUCUCAGCUUCCGACAUUAGUUGAGGACCCAGAGGCCGAGUUCCAGGUGAUACACUUUCCCUGGUCAAGGUCUUCGUGACAUCCGCCUCAGUCCCGGACACACCCCUUAUUUUGCCGACGAUUGCUGGGGCGACUACCCUUCGCGAUGUCGUUGGUGAAGAUCCUACUGAGUGGAACUACAAGGACUUCACGCGCCGCCCCUGAAGCGUAUCUACCGAUUCAACCAUGUUAGUUGCCCCGUUUGUCUUAUGCAUUGUAUGUCGUACCUAUUUUUGGAUGGAUUGUGUUGAGGCUGUGUGAACUAUAUGUGGAAUGGAUGCAUAGACCAUUAGAGUUUUAAUUCGUGUGGUGAAAGAUGUGGUUAUGGAUUGAUGGAUAUCUGUACUUGCUUAUUGUUAGGUUUGGUGUUUGAACUGUUAAGCACGUUUUGCAGAACAUGAUGUUGCUGUGUAGUGCUUGCUAGGCUUGUUUUAUGGGUUGCUUUACUUUGUUGUUAGGUAUGGAGAUUGUCCAGUAAAAACUGUGGUGUCCAUGUGUCUUAAUGUUAGGUUUAAUGUAUUUACUAUGAAUUAAUGUUUGCAAGUAUUGCCAAUGAUGAUGUUUAUAGCAUUAUGUGUA